UUUUGACGUUAGUCGGAAAAUUAGUCGUAAAGGUGCAAAUAAAAUCCAAAAUUUAUGAAAAGUUAGAGUGUGCUAACACUUAAAAGGGAAUUAAAAAAUCAACUCUAUGGCCUGAGUGAAAUUAUGCGGUGUUUCCAACGAUUAAUUUGUUGAUGUCGAAAAUGGUCUGGGAUUAAAUUGACCCCCAUGUGCACGAAAUCAUUCGCUGUGAAGGUGUGUACACUAAGAAUUAAUGUCACUAUUACGAAUUUUUUAACUCUGGCCGGAUUUCAAUUUUGCCUGCGAAAUGACCCACGCACUCAAUAUGAGUCCAUAACGCCGUUGAAGAAGUCAAAGAAUUUGAUGAUCAGCUCAUGAAGAGGUAUCGAAGCUUUCUUCAUAAUCCGGUCAAUUACAAUCGGUUACUAUUUCAAGUAAAGAUAAAUGAAUCCUGCUGAAUAAAUCAGAAUCUAUAUAACUCGAAACAGUCACAACACAAUUGGCAGAAACUAUUAUUUACUACGAUUUUUAAAAAAUCUUUAGACCGACAAAUCGAUGCCCAAAAAAAUAAACAAACAUAUUCUACCCAGUCAGGACUGGUUAGCACUGAUGAA